rnacentral:rRNA from 1 species
GCGAACGCUGGCGGCAGGCCUAACCCAUGCAAGUCGAACGAACUCUUCGGAGUUAGUGGCGGACGGGUGAGUAACACGUGGGAACGUGCCUUUAGGUUCGGAAUAACUCAGGGAAACUUGUGCUAAUACCGAAUGUGCCCUUCGGGGGAAAGAUUUAUCGCCUUUAGAGCGGCCCGCGUCUGAUUAGCUAGUUGGUGAGGUAAAGGCUCACCAAGGCGACGAUCAGUAGCUGGUCUGAGAGGAUGAUCAGCCACAUUGGGACUGAGACACGGCCCAAACUCCUACGGGAGGCAGCAGUGGGGAAUCUUGCGCAAUGGGCGAAAGCCUGACGCAGCCAUGCCGCGUGAAUGAUGAAGGUCUUAGGAUUGUAAAAUUCUUUCACCGGGGACGAUAAUGACGGUACCCGGAGAAGAAGCCCCGGCUAACUUCGUG